rfam:Operophtera brumata OBRT01_Sc02041, whole genome shotgun sequence.
CACUAGGCCCUUUUCAGGGCCACCACCUCAAGCUAGUAUCUGACCU